AAGACUAUAGACCUGCGGAGUACCUGCGGAAGGAUCAUUACAGGGUAGCUUAUGCUGUAAACCCCCAACCAUUGUGAACGAAGCUUAUUCGCAGUUGCCUCAGCGGGUGGUUAUGCUACCCGCCUGAAGCACGCAAACUCUUGUUUUAAUGUCAUCUCUGAGUAACUUUUAAUAAGUCAAAACUUUCAACAACGGAUCUCU
rnacentral:misc_RNA from 1 species